rnacentral:rRNA from 1 species
CGGACGGGUGAGUAACACGUGGAUAACCUACCUAUAAGACUGGGAUAACUUCGGGAAACCGGAGCUAAUACCGGAUAAUAUAUUGAACCGCAUGGUUCAAUAGUGAAAGACGGUUUUGCUGUCACUUAUAGAUGGAUCCGCGCCGCAUUAGCUAGUUGGUAAGGUAACGGCUUACCAAGGCGACGAUGCGUAGCCGACCUGAGAGGGUGAUCGGCCACACUGGAACUGAGACACGGCCCAG